UACGAAGGGAGCUAGCGUUGCUCGGAUUGACUGGGCGUAAAGGGCGCGUAGGCGGUUCGUACAGUCAGACGUGAAAUUCCUGGGCUCAACCUGGAGGCUGCGUUUGAUACGUGCGGGCUUGAGUUCGGAAGAGGGUCGUGGAAUUCCCAGUGUAGAGGUGAAAUUCGUAGAUAUUGGGAAGAACACCGGUGGCGAAGGCGGCGACCUGGUCCGAUACUGACGCUGAGGCGCGAAAGCGUGGGGAGCAAACAGG
rnacentral:rRNA from 1 species